rnacentral:sRNA from 17 species
GAUUCCAAAACAUGGUCGCUUGCUGUUGGGCAGGAGACGCCGUGGAAGCGGCCGAGGUUCGAUUCCGA